CUGAUGCCACAGGAUCGUAUACUUAAAAUGAUUUGGAUGGCAAAUGUUAUGUUAUAUAUGUCUUACCCCAAUACAAAAGUACAUCUAUAAAUAUAUAGUAUUAUUUUGGGUGUGCUCCUCUCUGUAUAGAGGUUAUCCCGUGGUGUGUGUCUGUAACUUGAUUUUUUCCAAUUCUGCCCUCAGUUUCCUGCUCUUUCCGGGCCUCAGGAGGCUUGACAUCCCUUUGACCACAGCACUGAAAGGUGUUCUCUUUGCUGAGAACUCAGUGUCUUCUGCCUGGCAGAGGCUUCGGCCCUCUAUUUUUGUUUCUAUCCCUUAUGCAUUCUCCCCGGCAGGUGCCCCUCCCAGCUUUAAGUGUAUGUAUACUCUGGAUUUUUCCGUCUUCAGAACAGUGCUCAAAAAUACCUGGGGUGUCCUUCUAACAGAAAGUGCAGAGACGUCUGCUGCAGGAUUGCCCACCCCCAUUUUGUAACAUCUGCUAUUUGAGAACUGCUGAAGCUGCCCUGAUCUAUGAGGGCUGACCUGGAAGAACAGAUGACUGUGAGUGUACCCCAGGACGUUGGCCUGGAUGGUGACAGACCAUGUGCUCUAGUCACCGUGCUGGCCAGACCCCCACAGGAAUCCAAACCAUCCCAGAGAAAAUAAGGGACUUUUGCAAGGCUGCCCCAGGAAGCACGGAAGACGUGGAACUGAAUCCCAGGCCUCUGGCCCAUCACCCACGUGGUGUCCCCAAGGAAGGGAGAGUUGUCUCGGAAUGCUCAGGGGGACUCAUUAAAGCAACACUUUCAUAAA
rnacentral:lncRNA from 1 species